rnacentral:rRNA from 1 species
ACGGAAGGCAGCAGUGAGGAAUAUUGGUCAAUGGAGGCAACUCUGAACCAGCCAUCUCGCGUGAAGGAAUACGGCCCUACGGGUCUUAAACUUCUUUUAUAGGGGGAUAAAGUGAGCCACGUGUGGCUUUUUGUAGGUACCCUAUGAAUAAGCAUCGGCUAACUCCGUGCCAGCAGCCGCGGUAAUACGGAGGAUGCGAGCGUUAUCCGGAUUUAUUGGGUUUAAAGGGUGCGCAGGCGGCACGUUAAGUCAGCGGUGAAAUGUCGGGGCUCAGCCCGGGCACUGCCGUUGAAACUGGCGAGCUUGAGUACGGAUGAAGUCGGCGGAAUGUGAUGUGUAGCGGUGAAAUGCUUAGAUAUGUCACAGAACACCGAUUGCGAAGGCAGCUGACUAACCCGCAACUGACGCUCAGGCACGAAAGCGUGGGGAUCGAACAGGAUUAGAUACCCUGGUA